GACGAACGCUGGCGGCGUGCCUAAUACAUGCAAGUAGGACGCAGUUGCGAACGGGUGAGUAACGCGUAGGUAACUGCCUAUUAGAGGGGGAUAACUACUGGAAACGAUAGCUAAUACCGCAUACUAGUAGAUGGACCUGCGUUGUAUUAGCUAGUAGGUGGGGUAAUGGCCUACCUAGGCAACGGUACAUAGCCGACCUGGGAGGGAGAUCGGCCACACUGGGACUGGGGCACCGGCCAGACUCCUACGGGGGGGAACAAUAGGGGAUCUUCGGCAAAGGGGGGAAACCUGACCGAGCAACGCCGCGUGGGUGGAGAAGGGUUUCGGGGCGUAAAGGUAUGUUGUGAAAGGAGCGGUACUUAACCAGGAAGGGACGGCUAACUACGUGCCAGCAGCCGCGGUAAUAC
rnacentral:rRNA from 1 species